GACGAACGCUGGCGGCGUGCUUAACACAUGCAAGUCGAACGGAAAGGCCCUGCUUUUGUGGGGUGCUCGAGUGGCGAACGGGUGAGUAACACGUGAGUAACCUGCCCUUGACUUUGGGAUAACUUCAGGAAACUGGGGCUAAUACCGGAGAGGAGCUGCUGCUGGAUGGUGGGGGUUGGAAAGUUUCGGCGGUUGGAGAUGGACUCGCGGCUUAUCAGCUUGUUGGGGGGGUAGUGGCUUACCAAGGCUUUGACGGGUAGCCGGCCUGGGAGGGUGACCGGCCACAUUGGUACUGAGAUACGGCCCAGACUCCUACGGGAGGCAGCAGUGGGGAAUAUUGCACAAUGGGCGGAAGCCUGAUGCAGCAACGCCGCGUGCGGGAUGACGGCCUUCGGGUUGUAAACCGCUUUCGCCUGUGACGAAGCGUGAGUGACGGUAAUGGGUAAAGAAGCACCGGCUAACUACGUG
rnacentral:rRNA from 1 species